UACGUAGGGUCCGAGCGUUGUCCGGAAUUAUUGGGCGUAAAGGGCUCGUAGGCGGUUUGUCGCGUCGGGAGUGAAAACUCAGGGCUCAACCCUGAGCGUGCUUCCGAUACGGGCAGACUAGAGGUAUGCAGGGGAGAACGGAAUUCCUGGUGUAGCGGUGGAAUGCGCAGAUAUCAGGAGGAACACCGGUGGCGAAGGCGGGUCUCUGGGCAGUAACUGACGCUGAGAAGCGAAAGCGUGGGGAGCGAACAGG
rnacentral:rRNA from 1 species